AAGCAGUAUAACUUCCUGGGUUCUAGUCCAUAGUUUUCUUAUGAAUUCAGUAUCAAUUUUUUAAAAAGAAAUUCUUUAAAUUAACAUAAGGCUUUUGAUCUUCUCUUAUGCUUUGAAUGGCAACUCAUUUCAAAGUCACAGCUCUCUAAUCACUGUUCAGGUACCAAAUCUAUUUUAUAGUCAUUCCUUGGCCCAUGUAUUGCCUUGGAUUUAGGAAAAUGAUUCCUCACCGUCUUGAAUUCAGUUGCUCUGAAAUCUAGAAUCAGGAAAUCCUAAGAAGGCUUAGAGGAACAAAAAUAGAUCUUCUUAAAUGCCCUUUAAGGACAUUUUAAUAACAGGACACUCUAACAACUUUAAGAACAAGAACGUUCUUCUUCUAUCUAUUUACUCUUUCUUCAGACACAAUUUGAAACAUUUUUA
rnacentral:lncRNA from 1 species